rnacentral:rRNA from 1 species
GUCCACGCCGUAAACGAUGUUCACUAGUUGCUGGAGGCCCUGGAGCCCUCAGUGACGUACCUAACGGAUUAAGUGAACCGCCUGGGGAGUACGGUCGCAAGAUUAAAACUCAAAGGAAUUGACGGGGACCCGCACAAGCGGUGGAGCAUGUGGUUUAAUUCGAAGCAACGCGCAGAACCUUACCUGGGUUUGACAUGGGGAGAAGUUUCGGUAAUGCGAAAUGUGCCCUUCGGGGAACUCCCGCACAGGUGCUGCAUGGCU